UCAGUGGGGCUAAGCUGUUAUUACUAUUAUCACAUGGUCAGGUCAGUGUGGAUAAGCUGUUAUGACUAUUAUCACUGUGUCAGAUCAGUAUGGAUAAGCUGUUAUUACUAUUAUCACAGGGUCAGGUCAGUGUGGAUAAGCUGUUAUUACUAUUAUCAUAGGGUCAGAUCAGUAUGGAUAAGCUGUUAUUACUAUUUUCACAGGGUCAGGUCAGUGUGGAUAAACUGUUAUUAUUAUUAUUAUUAUCACAGUGUCAGAUCAGUAUGGAUAAGCUGUUAUUACUAUUAUCACAGGGUCAGGUCAGUGUGGAUAAGCUGUUAUUACUAUUAUCACAGGGUCAGAUCAGUAUCGAUAUGCUGUUAUUACUUUUAUCACAGAUUCAGAUCAGUAUGGAUAAGCUGUUAUUACUAUUUUCACAGUGUCAGGUCAGUGUGGAUAAGCUGUUAUUACUAUUAUCACAGGGUCAGUUCAGUAUGGAUACGCUGUUAUUACUAUUAUCACAGGGUUCGGUCAGUGUGGAUAAGCUGUUAUUACUAUUAUCACAGGGUCAGGUCAGUGUGGAUAAGCUGUUAUUAUUAUCACAGUGUCAGAUCAGUAUGGAUAAGCUGUUAUGACUAUUAUCACAGAGUCAGAUCAGUGUGGAUAAGCUGUUAUGACUAUUAUCACUGUGUCAGAUAAGUAUGGAUAAGCUGUUAUUACUAUUAUCACAGGGUCAGAUCAGUGUGGAUAAGCUGUUAUGACUAUUAUCACAGAGUCAGAACAGUGUGGAUAAGCUGGUAUUACUAUUAUCACAGGGUCAGGUCAGUGUGGAUAAGCUGUUAUUACUAUUAUCACAUGGUCAGAUCAGUAUGGAUAAGCUGUUAUUACUAUUAUCACAGACUCAGGUCAGUGUUGAUAAGCUGUUAUUACUAUCACAAUGUCAGAUCAGUGUGGAUAAGCUGUUAUUACUAUUAUCACAGUUUCAGGUCAGUGUGGAUAAGCUGUUAUUACUAUUAUCACAGGGUCAGGUCAGUGUGGAUAAGCUUAUAUUGCUAUUAUCAUAGGGUCAGAUCAGUAUGGAUAAGCUGUUAUUACUAUUAUCACAUCAUCAGGUCAGUGUGAAUAAGCUGUUAUUACUAUUAUCACAGGGUCAGUUCAGUAUGGAUACGCUGUUAUUACUAUUAUCACAGGGUUCGGUCAGUGUGGAUAAGCUGUUAUUACUAUUAUCACAGGGUCAGGUCAGUGUGGAUAAGCUGUUAUUAUUAUCACAGUGUCAGAUCAGUAUGGAUAAGCUGUUAUGACUAUUAUCACAGAGUCAGAUCAGUGUGGAUAAGCUGUUAUGACUAUUAUCACUGUGUCAGAUAAGUAUGGAUAAGCUGUUAUUACUAUUAUCACAGGGUCAGAUAAGCUGUUAUGACUAUUAUCACAGGGUCAGGUCAGUGUGGAUAAGCUGUUAUUACUAUUAUCACAUGGUCAGAUCAGUAUGGAUAAGCUGUUAUUACUUUUAUCACAGACUCAGGUCAGUGUUGAUAAGCUGUUAUUACUAUCACAAUGUCAGAUCAGUGUGGAUAAGCUGUUAUUACUAUUAUCACAGUUUCAGGUCAGUGUGGAUAAGCUGUUAUUACUAUUAUCACAGGGUCAGGUCAGUGUGGAUAAACUGUUAUUAUUAUUAUUAUUAUUAUUAUUAUCACAGUGUCAGAUCAGUAUGGAUAAGCUGGUAUUACUAUUAUCACAGGGUCAGGUCAGUGUGGAUAAGCUGUUAUUACUAUUAUCACAUGGUCAGAUCAGUGGGGCGAAGCUGUUAUUACUAUUAUCACAUGGUCAGAUCAGUGGGGCUAAGCUGUUAUUACUAUUAUCACAUGGUCAGAUCAGUGGGGCUAAGCUGUUAUUACUAUUAUCACAUGGUCAGAUCAGUGGGGCUAAGCUGUUAUUACUAUUAUCACAUGGUCAGAUCAAUGGGGCUAAGCUGUUAUUACUAUUAUCACAUGGUCAGAUCAGUGGGGCUAAGCUGUUAUUACUAUUAUCACAUGGUCAGAUCAGUGGGGCUAAGCUGUUAUUACUAUUAUCACAGUGUCAGAUCAGUAUGGAUAAGCUGUUAUUAAUAUUAUCACAGACUCGGGUCAGUGUUGAUAAGCUGUUAUUAUUAUCACAAUGUCAGAUCAGUGUGGAUAAGCUGUUAUUACUAUUAUCACAGUUUCAGGUCAGUGUGGAUAAGCUGUUAUUACUUUUAUCACAGUGUCAGGUCAGUGUCGAUAAGCUGUUAUUACUAUUAUCACAGAGUCAGGUCAGUGUGGAUACGCUGUUAUUACUAUUAUCACAGUUUCA